UUGGUCCCUUUGGAAAGCAACACCAAUCACAAUGUCAAGCUCUAUACACCAACUGGCCACACCCACUCCUCACAGGUGUAAACACUAGUUGCUGAAUUGUUCACUUAGAAAUCAGAGCUUCAGCACUAUAACAGGCCACAGAUGAGCUCUUCUGUUUUGGAGGAAAAUGGAAGUCAAUGGUGAGGCAAGAGCUAGAGGUGAAGGAGUGAGAGGAAGAGGAGGAAGAGGACAAGGAAGGACAGUUUUGUCAGAUGAGAUCAGGGCCACAUUGUUUGACCAUGUGCUCAACCAUAGAUUGAGUUUGAGGGAGGCUGGACAGAGUUCAGCCCAACCUGAGCCGUUACACGGUUGCAUCUAUCCUCCGUACAUUCAGAAAUGACAACCGAACUGAGAGAGGACCAGGCCAUGGUAGAAGACAUCGCCUGUUCACACCAGAACAGGAGACCGGCUAUUGUGAACAUGGUGGUGGCAAACAAUACCAUUAGACAAUGAGAAAUCCAGAACCACAUAAUUGCAGACAACACAAUAUUCAAUAACAUUCACCAGGUGGGCUUGUCUACAUUGGACCGUGAUUUACAGCACAAGCGAAUCCGGAUGAAACAGGUCUACAGGGCGCCAUUUGAGCGAAACUCAGAGAGGGUUAAAGAACAGCGAUAUGAAUAUGUGCUAGUAGGUACUAUACUAGAAUCUUGGAGCUGGAUGCCUCUGCAUUUCAGCACGUUUAUAUUUACAUUGAUGAGGCUGGCUUCAACCUAGCCAAAAGAAGGGGACAGAACAUUAUUGUGUCAUUGUGAAUGUCCCUGGGCGGUGUGGAGGGAAUAUCACCAUGUGUGCAGGAGUUAGCCACCAUGCCAACCUUGGUCCCUACAACACCGCCCUUCUUGUCACAUCCCUGGAAUACACUUCAGCAGAGGGUUGGACCAGAGCAGCCCAGGGAUGUUGUCGUCUGGGACAACGUGAGUUUCCACCGGGCUGCUCUGGUCCCCAACUGGUUCAUCGACCUCCCACAAUGUAUUGUUCUAUACCUCCCACCAUAUUCCCCAUUCCUAAACCCAGUUGAAGAGUUUUUUUCAGCAUGGCGAUGGAAGGUGUAUGACCGCCAUCCCCUCGCACGCUGUCACGUUCGGACCUUUAUUUCGUCUUUAUUUAGUAUAGUCAGGGCGUGAGUUGGGGUGGGCAGUCUAUGUUUUGUGUUUCUAUAUUUGGUUUCUGUUUCGUCCUAGUAUGAUUCUCAAUCAGAGGCAGGUGUCGUUAGUUGUCUCUGAUUGAGAAUCAUACUUAGGUAGCCUGGGUGUCACUGUUGGUUUGUGGGUGUUUGUUUCCGUGUCUGUUUGUCACCACACGGGACUGUUUCGGUUUGGUUUUUGUUCAUGUUCACAUUAAUUGUUUUGUAGUUCUUAGUGUUCAGUUUAUGUUUUAUAAUAAACGAUAUGGACACUUA